rnacentral:tRNA from 1 species
GAACACGUAGCUCAGUUGGCAGAGCAUUGGGCUAGAAUUCCAAAGGUCGUAGGUUCGAUUCCCACCGUGGACA